UACGAAGGGUGCAAGCGUUACUCGGAAUUACUGGGCGUAAAGCGUGCGUAGGUGGUGAGUUAAGUCUGUCGUGAAAGCCCCGGGCUCAACCUGGGAAUGGCGAUGGAUACUGGCUCGCUAGAGUGCGGUAGAGGAGAGUGGAAUUCCCGGUGUAGAGGUGAAAUUCGUAGAUAUCGGGAGGAACACCGGUGGCGAAGGCGGCGAUCUGGGUCGAUACUGACGCUGAGGUGCGAAAGCGUGGGGAGCAAACAGG
rnacentral:rRNA from 1 species